UACAGAGGGGGCAAGCGUUGUUCGGAAUUACUGGGCGUAAAGAGCUCGUAGGCGGUUCGAUAAGUCGGGUGUGAAACCUCCAGGCUCAACCUGGAGACGCCACCCGAUACUGUCGUGACUAGAGUCCAGUAGGGGAGCGUGGAAUUCCUGGUGUAGCGGUGAAAUGCGCAGAUAUCAGGAGGAACACCAGCGGCGAAGGCGGCGCUCUGGGCUGGAACUGACGCUGAGGAGCGAAAGCGUGGGGAGCAAACAGG
rnacentral:rRNA from 1 species